rnacentral:rRNA from 1 species
UACAGAGGGUGCGAGCGUUGUCCGGAAUCACUGGGCGUAAAGGGCGCGUAGGUGGCGACCCAAGUCUGUGGUGAAAGCUCGACGCUCAACGUCGAGUCGGCCAUAGAUACUGGGUUGCUUGAGCACUGUAGAGGCAGAUGGAAUUCCGGGUGUAGCGGUGGAAUGCGUAGAGAUCCGGAAGAACACCGGUGGCGAAGGCGGUCUGCUGGGCAGUUGCUGGACACUGAGGCG